CGCCUGGGGAGUGCGGCCGCAAGGUUAAAACUCAAAUGAAUUGACGGGGGCCCGCACAAGCGGUGGAGCAUGUGGUUUAAUUCGACGCAACGCGAAGAACCUUACCUGGCCUUGACAUCCAGAGAACUUUCCAGAGAUGGAUUGGUGCCUUCGGGAACUCUGAGACAGGUGCUGCAUGGCCGUCGUCAGCUCGUGUCGUGAGAUGUUGGGUUAAGUCCCGUAACGAGCGCAACCCCUAUCCCUGGUUGCUAGCAGGUAAUGCUGAGAACUCCAGGGAGACUGCCGGUGACAAACCGGAGGAAGGUGGGGAUGACGUCAGGUCAUCAUGGCCCUUAUGGCCAGGGCUACACACGUGCUACAAUGGCGCGUACAGAGGGCUGCCAACUCGCGAGAGUGAGCCAAUCCCUUAAAACGCGUCGUAGUCCGGAUCGGAGUCUGCAACUCGACUCCGUGAAGUCGGAAUCGCUAGUAAUCGCGAAUCAGAAUGUCGCGGUGAAUACGUUCCCGGGCCUUGUACACACCGCCCGUCACACCAUGGGAGUGGAUUGCACCAGAAGUAGUUAGUCUAACCUUCGGGAGGACGAUUACCACGGUGUGGUUCAUGACUGGGGUGAAGUCGUAACAAGGGUAACCGUA
rnacentral:rRNA from 1 species